rnacentral:rRNA from 1 species
ACUCCUACGGGAGGCAGCAGUCGAGGAUUUUUCUCAAUGGGGGCAACCCUGAAGGAGCGACGCCGCGUGGAGGAUGAAGGGCUUCGGCUUGUAAACUCCUGUCACCGACGAACAAGGCAUCCGGUUGAACAUUCCGGGUGAUUGAUGGUAGUCGGAGAGGAAGGGGCGGCUAACUCUGUGCCAGCAGCCGCGGUAAU